CCACGGUGAUGUGUUCCCCUCUUUGAACAAUAGUGGAAAACUUGAUACCUUACUGUCACAGGGAAAGGAGUAUGUCUUCGUGGUGAACUCAGACAACUUGGGUGCUAUAGUUGACAUCAAGAUAUUAAACCACCUGAUCCAUAACCAGAAUGAGUACUGCAUGGAGGUUACUGCAAAAACAUUGGCUGAUGUUAAAGGUGGUACCCUCAUCU